CAAUAGCGAAUAUUAAAGUUGUUGCAGUUAAAAAGCUCGUAGUUGGAUUUGUGGCGUACGGUGUGUUCCGGGCACUUGUUGUCUGAGUAACCUGCUGUUGCCAUCCUUGGGUGGAACCUGUGUGGCAUUAGGUUGUCGUGCAGGGGAUGCCCAUCAUUUACUGUGAAAAAAUUAGAGUGUUCAAAGCAGGCUUAUGCCGUUGAAUAUAUUAGCAUGGAAUAAUGAGAUAGGACUUUUUUGCUAUUUUGUUGGUUUGCGCAAAGAGGUAAUGAUUAAUAGGGACAGUUGGGGGUAUUCGUAUUCCAUUGUCAGAGGUGAAAUUCUUGGAUUUUUGGAAGACGAACUACUGCGAAAGCAUUUACCAAGGAUGUUUUCAUUAA
rnacentral:rRNA from 1 species